AAAGACUUAAGUUAACCUAAACUAAUAGCCUUCAAAGCUAUUAAUAGAAGUAUAAAACUUCUAGUCUUUG
rnacentral:tRNA from 1 species